rnacentral:rRNA from 1 species
CCUAACACAUGCAAGUCGAGCGGAAACGACACUAACAAUCCUUCGGGUGCGUUAAUGGGCGUCGAGCGGCGGACGGGUGAGUAAUGCCUAGGAAAUUGCCUUGAUGUGGGGGAUAACCAUUGGAAACGAUGGCUAAUACCGNAUGAUGCCUACGGGCCAAAGAGGGGGACCUUCGGGCCUCUCGCGUNAAGAUAUGCCUAGGUGGGAUUAGCUAGUUGGUGAGGUAAUGGCUCACCAAGGCGACGAUCCCUAGCUGGUCUGAGAGGAUGAUCAGCCACACUGGAACUGAGACACGGUCCAGACUCCUACGGGAGGCAGCAAUGGGGAAUAUUGCACAAUGGGCGCAAGCCUGAUGCACCCAUGCCGCGUGUAUGAAGAAGGCCUUCGGNUUGUAAAGUACUUUCAGUUGUGAGGAAGGGNGUGUCGUUAAUANCAGCAUCUCUUGACGNUAGCAACAGAAGAAGCACCGGCUAACUCCGUGCCAACAGCCGCGGUAAUACGGAGGGUGCUAGCGUUAAU